UACGGAGGGGGCUAGCGUUGUUCGGAAUUACUGGGCGUAAAGCGCGCGUAGGCGGCUUUGUAAGUUAGAGGUGAAAGCCCGGAGCUCAACUCCGGAAUUGCCUUUAAGACUGCAUCGCUAGAAUCAUGGAGAGGUGAGUGGAAUUACGAGUGUAGAGGUGAAAUUCGUAGAUAUUCGGAAGAACACCAGUGGCGAAGGCGACUCACUGGACAUGUAUUGACGCUGAGGUGCGAAAGCGUGGGGAGCAAACAGG
rnacentral:rRNA from 1 species